AGCAGUGAAGAAGAGGAAAAUGAUGUACCGCAAUCAUGUAAAACUUAUAAGAGGAAAGCAAACAGUAUGAAUAAAAUUUCUGCUAUUCCAGCCUGUCCGGACAAUUUAAGAUUAAACAAUAAUAAUGAAAACAAUGUAAAUGAUAUGAAUGACUUUCCACUUUCACAAUCUUAUGAAAAAAGGAAGAGUUCAUGCACAAAUCCCAGUUCAAAUUCUGAA